UUAAGGUUCUACUGAGUUCUAUUGUGCCAGUAUUUCCAACCAAGCUGAGCUGUUUGGGGGCACUUGUUAAAAGCUGACGAAUUAUGGGACUUUCUUUUCUCCGGCUCUCCAAAGCGGCCGAUUCCAAGUCUACAGUUUUGUUGUCCUGGAGCUGAGCGUUUCUUGCGCAGUGGCCCUAGGACCCUUGCAUCAGUUCACCACAGAGGUAGGAAGUGAGGCCACCGCGGGUCAGGCAGUAGAAAGGAAUCUUUGGUGGGGAAGGAAGCGAAGCCGGCUACACGCCUGCCUUUCCAUCCGAUGAAUUCAGUUUGCAGGCACGUUCUAAGUCCGCUAUGCCCUGAGAUGCUGCGCUAAAAAUAGCUCCGAGCUUACUUCCCUCCUUUCCAGUUUGUAGUCCCCCAGACAGAGGCCCUGCUGUCUGCCAGUCUGAGCUGGAAUUAGCACACGGUGUCAGGGCUCUGCUGCAUCCCUGCUGGUGGAGGCUGAAGCCUUUGCCCAUCAAUCGCGAUCGGCUGUCUCCACUCCUGUGCCCUUUGGUUACCUGUGUCCAGGAGGCCGACCACACCCAUCCUUAACUACCGAUGUAAAGGAUGUCAUGGGCUGACUCACUCUCUCAGUGUUAUUUCAGACAGCAGGCUGUUCCUGCCCCCAGCACCUCUCCACAGCACAGCUUUUCCUUCUCUGGAAUCCGCCCCACCCUCCCGUGGAUCCCGGAAACCUCAGCUCCAAAACUCUCAUCCCUACAGUCAAUUCCGUUCUCUCAGCGGCUAUCUUUGCCACCCUCUACCCAGCUAUGGACUCUCUCAAGCUGUGUUCAUGGUUCUUGGACAGGUUUACGUAUUUCCGAGUUUCUGAAUAGUUGUAGACCCGAUGGGAGGAACGAAGUGAGACGGCAGGAUGGAAAGAACCAAAAAGCUAUUCUGGUUCAGAUAGGUGUGUUGCCAAGAAACAAAGCAACAUCGAGCUCAAAUGAAUAAUGGUUUAACUUCAGAAUGCAAGUGGGAGAGAUUUGUCCUGACCACAGGCCAGGCAGGCAGGACAAAGGAAAACUUCCAGCUACAGUCGUCUUGCAAGAUCUGGAAGGCUACUUCAAUAUCAACAUCCAAUCAAGAGGUGAGGCUAAGUAAAUACUCCAGUCGCGUUCCUGAUGGCAGAGACUCAGCAGUAGAAACAGCAGCGGUGUGCACACCAUUCCUGGUUAUGCUGUGCUGAGGAGGCCUUCAUCCAGGAAUGUGAGCACACUAUGCAAGAGUGGGAGUGAAACAGAUACUAUUUUGAUAUCCUGAAGAUGCAGAGAUGGAUGGCUGAAUGGAAACAUAAAACAGAGUCAGAUGAGCACAUGGAACGACCUUCGCCACCUGGACUAUCUUCUUCUAGAUACUUUGUAAUGAAUGAGGGGGAGGGGACCCUAUAAAUUAGUUCAAGCA